UGCCUUGCUACUAAUUUGGGUGGAAUUGGCGCUUUCAUUUCUAUGUUUUUUUACCUGCAGGAAUGAAAAUAAAUUAUGGAGAGCACCCGGAGAGGAGCAUUAUUUCAGCACCAGUCUUUAUCUUUCCACGAGAAGUUAUGAAUACACGGCUGAGUAUUAAAUGGAGCGAUGAGAACAUUGUCUGGAUAGGCAAUGAAAAAGCAGGAGGGAUUAUUUGGCUGCUGAGGGAGAAUGCAAACCGACAGAAUGAAGGCCCCCCCCUUCCCAAGUCUUGGAGGCAUCUGUCCCUGGAGGAAAAGGCCCUGUGCUGAUUACCUGAAGCAGAUCGUCUCCUCCAUUGUCCUGUGGGCGCUCCUGGGUGAUGAAGGUCAUCAGCUCCUACACGCACUGUUGCCUGGCUGACGAAGAGGAGCAGCCUGCGGUCGUGAGCCUUGCCUCUUCCUCCUCCUCCUCCUCCUCCGUCGGCUCCCUCAAUGACACCUCCAGGGUCGGGGUCAGGAUCAGAGAAGACGGGAGAGGACAGUCACAGCGUCGGCACAGCCAGGGCGACACUGUUGAUGCUGGGGUUUUGUUCACCGGAAAGGGCGGGGGGAGCUUGGGGAGGACCAUGUGCUGACAGGUUCUUAAUCAGGUCCUAUGAUAAUGUUAUGAAUCGGGUCAUAAAGUGAGUGAGUCACUCAUUUAAUCAGACCCUGUGAUAGUGUUAAGUGAGUGAGUGACUUUUUAACAGGCUCUGCAAUAGUGUUAUGAAUCGAGUCACUCUUUAACUGACCAAGUGAUAGUGUUAUAAAGUGAGUGAGUCACUCUUUAACAGGCUCUGUGAUAGUGCUAUAAAGUGAGUGACUCUUUAACAGAGCCUUUAAUCGUAAUAUAAAGUGAGUCACUCUUGAACAGGCCUUUUGAUAUUGUUAUGAAGUGAGUGAGUCAUUAUUUAACGGGCCCUUUGAUAGCGCUAUAAAGUGAGUGAGUCAUUCUUUAACAGGGCCUG